UUGAACGCUGGCGGAAUGCUUUACACAUGCAAGUCGAACGGCAGCACGGGGGCAACCCUGGUGGCGAGUGGCGAACGGGUGAGUAAUGUAUCGGAACGUACCCAGUCGUGGGGGAUAACUAUCCGAAAGGAUAGCUAAUACCGCAUACGUCCUGAGGGAGAAAGCGGGGGAUCGCAAGACCUCGCGCGAUUGGAGUGGCCUAGGCCUGAUUAGCUAGAUGGUGAGGUAAAGGCUCACCAUGGCGACGAUCAGUAGCUGGUCUGAGAGGAUGAUCAGCCACACUGGAACUGAGACACGGUCCAGACUCCUACGGGAGGCAGCAGUGGGGAAUUUUGGACAAUGGGCGAAAGCCUGAUCCAGCCAUUCCGCGUGAGUGAAGAAGGCCUUCGGGUUGUAAAGCUCUUUCAGGAGGGAAGAAACGGUUUUGGCUAAUACCCAAGACUAAUGACGGUACCUUCAGAAGAAGCACCGGCUAACUACGU
rnacentral:rRNA from 1 species